UCUCAUUUACUUCCUCGUUUAACUCCAUGUACUUCCUGCUUCUCAACAGCCAAUAGAAUUGCCUUCACUUUGUUUCCCCAAUAGCCACUCAAGGCCCACUUACCCAAGGUCCCGCCCGC